GGCCAAUGUUUGUGACUAAGUGGCUACUAAAAAAGACUGAACAUACCCCAUUUGCAAUACCUUGGGUUGUCUUCUUUUGCAAAUGGUAUACCAUUAUGGGAGUAAUUCUCAUUCCCAGGUUACCAUACGCUCUCAAAGGCAACAUAACCAAUCUGGCAAAUUUCAAUGUGGAAAAAAAGGAAAAUCAAGCCUUAUAUUUGAC